UUUCCCAAUUCCAGUCCGGGUAGCGUAUAAUUAUUGGUGCAGAAUCAUAUAACAGUGUGUGGUGGCCUAAAUUUAGCGUGGAAAAGUGGAGAUUAAGCAAUAUUAAAGGGAGAAAGACUUACAAGCUCGGACACAUAAGCAUAGCUAAUAGGACGUGGAACAGGUACACCCAAAGGAUGCGAAGUUAACAUAGAAGAUGUUCCAGCGGAGUUGGUAGGCUCCACUUGUCCUGGAGUGCUGCCAAGUCAGAGUAUAUGUA